rnacentral:rRNA from 1 species
GGCCCUACACAUGCAAGUCGAGCGGAAACGAUGGAAGCUUGCUUCCAGGCGUCGAGCGGCGGACGGGUGAGUAAUGCAUAGGAAUCUGCCCGGUAGUGGGGGAUAACCUGGGGAAACUCAGGCUAAUACCGCAUACGUCCUACGGGAGAAAGCAGGGGAUCUUCGGACCUUGCGCUAUCGGAUGAGCCUAUGUCGGAUUAGCUAGUUGGUGAGGUAAUGGCUCACCAAGGCCGCGAUCCGUAGCUGGUCUGAGAGGAUGAUCAGCCACAUCGGGACUGAGACACGGCCCGAACUCCUACGGGAGGCAGCAGUGGGGAAUAUUGGACAAUGGGCGAAAGCCUGAUCCAGCCAUGCCGCGUGUGUGAAGAAGGCCCUCGGGUUGUAAAGCACUUUCAGUGAGGAAGAACGCUUGCGGGUUAAUACCCUGCAAGAAAGACAUCACUCACAGAAGAAGCACCGGCUAACUCCGUGCCAGCAGCCGCGGUAAUACGGAGGGUGCGAGCGUUAAUCGGAAUUACUGGGCGUAAAGCGCGCGUAGGCGGCUUGAUAAGCCGGUUGUGAAAGCCCCGGGCUCAACCUGGGAACGGCAUCCGGAACUGUCAGGCUAG